rnacentral:rRNA from 2 species
UGGGGAAUUUUGCACAAUGGGGGAAACCCUGAUGCAGCGACGCCGCGUGAUUUAGAAGGCCUUCGGGUUGUAAAAAUCUUUUCUAUGGGAAGAAAAUGACAGUACCAUAGGAAUAAGGGCCGGCUAAUUACGUGCCAGCAGCCGCGGUAAUACGUAAGGUCCGAGCGUUGUCCGGAAUCAUUGGGCGUAAAGGGUACGUAGGCGGGUAAGCAAGUUAGAAGUGAAAUCCUAUAGCUCAACUAUAGUAAGCUUUUAAAACUGCUCAUCUUGAGGUAUGGAAGGGAAAGUGGAAUUCCUAGUGUAGCGGUGAAAUGCGCAGAUAUUAGGAGGAAUACCGGUGGCGAAGGCGACUUUCUGGCCAUAACCUGACGCUGAGGUACGAAAGCGUGGGUAGCAAACAGG